UCAUAACUGGCUGGCCGCUGUUUUUCAUCCACAAAACACCAGGACUUAGACAAAUGGGACUGAUGGCAUCUUGAGCUUGUUAUUUUGACAUUGAUUUUUUUUUUUUUUUUUUGAAGCAAGGGCAUUGUUUUUGCAGGAAAACAAAACAAAACAUGUCAUGUAGGUUGUCUAAAAAUAAAAUGCAUUUAAACUCAUUUGAGAAUGCCCCUUAGUUUAAUAUGUAAUAUCUAAAUCAUGCUGUGUAGCCUUCCUGGAGAAGCUAGAACCUUGUUGUAGACCACAACUGGAAAGUAUAAGGCCAUCUUCAGAUAACUUCUGCAGUUGAAAGCCACUUCCUGGACUUGGAAUAUAAACAAGAAUCAAAAUAUUUGAGUCGAAAGGAAAAACCAUGCUCAGAGCAGUGCCAACAGCUGAAGUGGAUUCUUUACACUUUCAUCACCUACAAAUGGAAGAGAUUAACCAAAAGAAUAAAAAGACUAAUACAGUUGCAAAAACAAAAAUUAGUUUUCACUCUCACCAUUUAAAGAACCAUAAGAAAUGGUACAUGGUCUGUUUGUAUAUUUUCCCAGAAACUUACAUAGUGUUUUCCACGUGUAGGAAGUCUAAAUAUAUUUACAUAUGGACUGAAUGGAUAAAAGUCAUGUGGCAGAAUAAAAAUUUAAACCUAAGUUUAUGCUCAUUUCGAUAAUUACUGGAAGUCAAAACUUUAUGGGCUUGAGAUGAAAUCAGUUAAACAUGCAAUGCGAGUGGAUAUUUUCUAUGGUUUUGAUCAGUGAAAUGAUAAGCUGAUACUGUUCAUUCCAUAAAUUCUCCACUCCCUUGUAAAAUUACAGCUGCCAGCAUAAAACUUAGUAUCACUAUCUCCAAAGUCUACAUGCCGUCAUUCUCUUUUUCUUAGUAAGUUAGAUUUCUAGGAAACUAAUUCUGGGAUUCUAGAUUUUUGCUUUGAAGGUUAGUUGAAAUGUUCUCUAGGGAAAAAAAAAAUCUGUGAAGGUUUAAUGAAGCAACCAGAGGGAGAAGAUGAACUGUGAUAGAGUUGCAUCUAAAAGGAGCUCUGGAUCAGUUGGGAUACUCUUGCAGGGUGACCUCAGUUGUGAAAAGGGUUCUGUGGGUUUUUACAAUCUACUAUCUACAAAAAUCAUUUGCUGUGAGUUGUCUCCAAGAGGGGAGCAUGACCUUUGGAGAGGUGGCUCGCUUGGGCAGAGGAUAACUCCUGGAGAGGGAUUUGACUAGAAUGAAGUCUGUGUGCCAUAACACAGCAUACACAUGGAUUUUUCGUAACCUGUUAAAUGAUAAAAUUUGUUGAUCAUAUCAGCAAGUCCAGUGGAAAUAAUGUAAACUCUUAGGGCAUAGGCAGAUAUCACUAUUUCUGGGCAGUUCUUAUAAGAAGUGCAGACAAAGAAAAAUGCCUCAUCAUCUCAUUGUGGGAAAGAGUUUAUGUAGCUGCCUGGGUUAUGUAUAUGAUAAUCUCUCAAAAGAGUGCUUGACAGUUUCCAGGAAACAUUUCUCAACUUAAUUGCUAGCAGUUGACCAAGGAACAUCCUCACUAAAGUGGAAGCUGAGUGGUCUGUGGUGAUGAUACCAGACUUAGAUCCAGAACACUGCCUCUUGUGUUUUGUCUUUGCUACAAGGUCCCUAAUUCCUAUUCUGUAAUUUAGCAUUUCUUUCCCUAUACUCUGUGUACUCUAUGUACUGCUCACAAUCUAAUAAUUCUUAUUGUUGCUAUUAAUAAUAAUAGUAAUGAGUAAAACCAUCAAAAAUAUGUGACUAGAAAUUUUCCAAAUGAUUUUCACAUGUAAGAAGAUGUUAAUUGGAACAAAGCUAAGCUGCUAUAACAAAAGACUUCAAAUUAUAGCCGCACAAAGUGAGUUUAUUUUUCUCUUGUGUAAUGGUGAGUAUAUCAGUGUUCACCACCUCAGAAAUGUUUCUGGUCUUCAUAGCUAUUCAAAAGGUUAGCUUCUUUCUAAGGCAUUGCUCUACCAUACCUGAGAGAUUAGUCAUUGCUGUAUGAUUGACGUUCCAUUGCCAUUAUCUCCUCACAACUGAAAGAGGUAUGGGUGGAGGAUUUACUCCUGAGGUCAUUUCAGGCCAGAAAUGGCACCUAUCACUUCUGCACAAAUUCCAUUGGCAGAUAAUUAUUUGCUCAUAAUUAACUGCGAAGGAAUCUUGAAUUGCCUAACUUGGCAGAAAUGUAUCUGGCUAUAAUUGUAAUGAAAGAUACAAAACUGAUUUGUGUGGAAGGCGAGCAACUCGACUGGCAAAUUCACUAAUAGCUUUUCUAAUUUCAUUUUCUGCACUUUUUCUUCUCUUUACCCAAGCUCAAAAUAAAUGUUUUCUAGUUUCUAAGAGAAAACACAUUCUCUUCAAAUGAUAAUUACCACAAAUACUUUUCUCUGGAUCUCAUCCUUGGUAUUUCCAUCAUGAGAAGAGUAUUGGGAAACCAAAAUCAGACUCCUGUUUCAUGCUCUCUGUGACUUUAUUCUGAAUUAGUGAUUCAAGUUUUUAAAUGAGAGAGAGAGUAGUAAGAAGAAAGAGGUUGAGACAAAUGGCAAAAAAUAUCAGUAUUACAAGUGUAUUUUCCUGCUAUAAAACUCCAUGAGUUCCCAAGAUUAGAGAUGUAGUCCAUUCAACCAGUGAUUUUAACCAAGAGUGUGGAAAGAAGAAAAUGAUGGGAGAGAGGCUCCUACCAGUAACCCGCAAACUACCUCUCUGCAACCCAAGAAAAUUGAGUGUCUCCCAUUCUGACUCCUGCUUCUUUCCCUUUUAUUAAUUUAUCUUUGGCUUGACUAAACUUACACAUAUGGAAUUCUCUUUAUUAGAACAUCAAAUCCAUAAUUCAUAAAAAGAAUUAACUUUGCUUAAGUCUGUAUUCCAUGACUAGGAAAAUAUUAAUUUAGACCUUCUUAUCACUCUCUAUGAGCUUGUUCCAGUGAUUGAAAGUAUUCAAGUUAACUUUAGAUAAUAGGAGAGAUCUUGGAGACCUUUCAGCUAAGCGUCUUCAUUUGAAACAUAGCACAAAGUGUUAAAUAGUUUGCGCAAUAUCACAUACCUUAUUUAUUUGGGGUGAGGACUGGAUUCUUAGUCUACUGACUCAUUCUUAUAUUCAUCCUAGUAGAAUUCACUGCCUUUCCAUUCUCUUCCUCUCCUCUUUUUCAACAUGAUUAUCCUUGUCACUACUUUAUAACCAUCUGACAUUUUAAUUAACUUUUCUAAGAUCAGAAUCCAGAAACUGAUAAGUACUCCUUUUUCUUUUUUCCCUGUUAGUCUGUUUUAAAGUGGCAUUUCAUGAAGUAUGUUCAGCUCAACUCUAGCCUUGUAGAAAUGUACUGUGUAAAAUAUAUUUCUAGGGAAUUAGUUUGAGAAAUGUUGUGCAUUCUGACUUCUCUGAGAUGUAUAAUAGGCAAUAGUGCAACACACGCUCUAUGAAAUAAAACUUUGAAAUAGAAAUUGGUUUAACUUUGCUCAUGUAACUAUUUUCAAAUUUAUAUACACAAUCUCGUUCCCCGUCUGCUUAUCCUGCUCAACUGCUCUGUGCACUAUUUGGGAGAGUUGCCUUGGAGUCAUGUCCCAUUACUCUUAGAAGUUUCUCAUAUUGAAAGAAUGAUCAAUUUGGGAAUAAUGUUUCAGAUAUUGAGACUUCCAGAUAGAAGCUGUGGUCAGAAUUUAAGAUGUCUGUUGAAGACAUAAAUCAUUGAUUGAAUAAAAAAUUUUAUGUCUUCUAACAACAACUACUAAAUCAGAAUAUCUGGGUUUAGGCCUAUUAAUAUUUUGUUAAGCUCCACAGAUGAUUGUGAUUAACAUGUCUGAGAAAUGAUACUUGGCAAUACGUAAUUUUCUCUAUUUUAAUUAGAAAUAUAUUUUUAACCAAUUAGUUAAUUUUAAUAUGAAUUAAAAUGAUCCUUUUCAACUUAAAAUUCUAAAUGGAUAAACACCUAUUAACAAACCAGAUGUCUUUGUUUGUAAUAGAUAGAAAAAUAUUUUGUCAGUGUUUCUCAUAUUUUAUUCAACAUUUUUUUUUCUCUUUCAUGCCAUUUUAGCAUGUUAUUUCUAAAACAUAAGUACAAUUCAUAUUCCUGAUUGAUAUUCACUAUGUUUGAAGACUAAACUGCUUAACCGGAUCCUUUCAUUAUCUGAUGAGCCUCUCCCUCUCUAACUUCCUCUUUUGUCCCAUCCUUCUUUAAUCAGUUUCACUGCUUCUGUAAUAGGUAGUUUCUUUCAGUUUUUCUGAUGAAAUAUUUUCUUUCUCUUUUACCCCAUUGGAAUACAGUUUUUAUUUUUAAUUUAACAAAUAGUAACAGCGAAUUAAAUCUGCAUAUUUUUAUGUGAUACAACAAACAAGUAUAUCAACAUACAUGCUUUAGAGAUAAACCAACAAAGCAAAAAGUGAAAUAACUUGUAAACUAUGUAAAUGUAAUUUAUUUUAAAAUUUAGCAUAUUUAAAUAUGCAUUGAUUGAUAACAAUGUUGAAAAGUUUAUGUGAUAUUUGAAUAAAUUAGGCUUUGGUAUUCUGUUUCGGUGUCUUAAAACCUGAAGUAUUUUAAUGUGAUUUUAUCUUUAUUUUCCUCAAGGCGUCUUCUGUUGGUUUAUCUACUCAUGCUGAAAAGUGAAUUUGAAAUAAGAAAUGUUACCAUAGCAUAUACUCAAGAUUUCAAUCACAUAUAUCUUUAUUUUCCCCUAGAGCAUCUAUCAUAUAAAUAAUGCUGUGGUAAAACAGAAAAAAGAUUAAAUAAAACAAUAAAUAUUGAAGCUUUGUUGUUUGUAUUUUGAAAUUUUAUUUACAUAUAGAGUAAAUAGAAUUAAUAUUUUUCAGCUUUCAAAUCCAAUUAAGGCUGAGAAACUAUGAAGCCAGUGAUUAUUUCCUUCUAUGUGUUUCUAGAUAAAAGUUGUUUCAUGAAGCACAUUUACACAUUUACUAUAUCUUUUAAGGAAUAUAAGGUUAACUUAUUCUAAAACUUGUCCAAUGUCUGAUAUCUUAGAUACUUUUUAAAGAGCAACAAGGCUGGUGGAAAAGAUUUUAUUUAUUCAAAUGUCAUUUCUGAGUGCACAUAAGAUCAAAACUUACGAAAAUCAUUUACUGAGAAUUUAUAGCUGGAGAUGCUUUAAAGUUAAAGGAUGAUCAAAUAAGUCUUCAGGCACAAACAUUAAAUUACCUGAAGAGUUUUUGUCCACCAUUAUUUUCAAUUCAAGGUAAAAACUUGUCAUUGCUGAGUCAUAAGCCUACCACCCAAUCUUCUCUUCAUUUAUAAUAACCUUAGGAGUAAAAUCAAAUGUCAGUUACAAUUUAGGUAAAAUUUAAAAGACUUUUCUUGGAGCUCCCAUUGUGGUUCAGUGGAAAUGAAUCUGACUAGUAUCCAUGAGGAUACAGGUUCCAUCCUUGGUCUUGCUCAGUGGGUUAAGGAUCCAGUAUUGCCCUUAGCUAUGGUAUAGGUUGCUGAUGUGGCUUAGAUCUGGAAUUGCUGUGGCAUGGGCAAGUGGCUAUAGCUCCAAUUUGACCCCUAGCCUGGUGACUUCCAUAUGCUGUGGUGUGGCC
rnacentral:lncRNA from 1 species